CCUACGGGAGGCAGCAGUAGGGAAUAUUGCUCAAUGGGGGAAACACUGAACCAGCCAAGCCGCGUGAGGGAUGAAGGUACAGAGUAUCGUAAACCUCUUUUGUCAGGGAACAAAGGCGGGGACGUGUCCCCGGCUGAGUGUACCUGAAGAAAAAGCAUCGGCUAACUCCGUGCCAGCAGCCGCGGUAAUACGGAGGAUGCGAGCGUUAUCCGGAUUUAUUGGGUUUAAAGGGUGCGCAGGCGGUCUGUUAAGUCAGCGGUCAAAGCCCGGGGCUCAACCCCGGCCCGCCGUUGAAACUGGCAGUCUCGAGUUGGAGAGAAGUAUGCGGAAUGCGCGGUGUAGCGGUGAAAUGCAUAGAUAUCGCGCAGAACUCCGAUUGCGAAGGCAGCAUGCCGGCUCCACACUGACGCUGAGGCACGAAAGCGUGGGUAUCGAACAGGAUUAGAUACCCCAGUAGUC
rnacentral:rRNA from 1 species